GCCGAGAGGCGCCGCAGCGGGAGGGUGAGUUCCAGCCUCCGCUGCAGCCCCUCGACGU
rnacentral:precursor_RNA from 1 species